rnacentral:rRNA from 1 species
GACGAACGCUGUCGGCGUGCUUAACACAUGCAAUUCGAACGGAAAUGCCCUUCUUUUGUGGGGUGCUCGAGUGGCGAACGGUUGAGUAACACGUUAGUAACCUGCCCUUUACUUUGGUAUAACUUCAGGAAACUGGGGCUAAUACCGGAUAGGAGCUCCUGCUGCAUGGUGGGGGUUGUAAAGUUUCGGCGGUUGGGGAUGUACUCGCGGCUUAUCAGCUUGUUGGUGUUGUAGUGGCUUACCAAGGCUUUGACGGGUAGCCGGCCUGAGAGGGUGACCAGCCACACAGGAACUUAGAAACAGCCCAGACUAAUACGGGAGGCAGCAGUGGGGAAUAUUGAACAAUGGGCAGAAGCCUGAUGCAGCAACGCAGCGUGAGGGAUGACGGCCUUAGAGUUGUAAACCGCUUUCGCCGGUGAAGAAGCGUAAGUGACGGUAAAGGGUAGAGAAGCACCGGCUAACUACGUA